AGCAGUGUGGUGUAAUGCUGCACACGGGAUUCCACUGAAGAAAUUGUCAGACACUUAAUCCCGAGGUCCUUGUUCGAACCAAGGUACUGCUC